rnacentral:rRNA from 1 species
GCUGCACUCUGGCGGCGUGCCUAAUACAUGCAAGUCGAGCGAACAGACGAGGAGCUUGCUCCUCUGACGUUAGCGGCGGACGGGUGAGUAACACGUGGAUAACCUACCUAUAAGACUGGGAUAACUUCGGGAAACCGGAGCUAAUACCGGAUAAUAUAUUGAACCGCAUGGUUCAAUAGUGAAAGACGGUUUUGCUGUCACUUAUAGAUGGAUCCGCGCCGCAUUAGCUAGUUGGUAAGGUAACGGCUUACCAAGGCGACGAUGCGUAGCCGACCUGAGAGGGUGAUCGGCCACACUGGAACUGAGACACGGUCCAGACUCCUACGGGAGGCAGCAGUAGGGAAUCUUCCGCAAUGGGCGAAAGCCUGACGGAGCAACGCCGCGUGAGUGAUGAAGGUCUUCGGAUCGUAAAACUCUGUUAUUAGGGAAGAACAAAUGUGUAAGUAACUAUGCACGUCUUGACGGUACCUAAUCAGAAAGCCACGGCUAACUACGUG